rnacentral:rRNA from 1 species
CUCCAGACUCCUACGGGAGGCAGCAGUGGGGGAUAUUGCACAAUGGGGGAAACCCUGAUGCAGCGACGCCGCGUGGGUGAAGAAGCGCCUCGGCGCGUAAAGCCCUGUCAGCAGGGAAGAAAAUGACGGUACCUGACUAAGAAGCCCCGGCUAACUACGUGCCAGCAGCCGCGGUAAUACGUAGGGGGCAAGCGUUAUCCGGAAUUACUGGGUGUAAAGGGAGCGCAGACGGCAGUGCAAGUCUGGAGUGAAAGCCCGUGGCUUAACCACGGGACUGCUCUGGAAACUGUGCAGCUAGAGUGCAGGAGAGGCAGGCGGAAUUCCUAGUGUAGCGGUGAAAUGCGUAGAUAUUAGGAGGAACACCAGUGGCGAAGGCGGCUUACUGGACUGUAAAUGACGCUGAGGCUCGAAAGCGUGGGGAGCAAACAGGAUUAGAUACCCGCGUACA